GACGCGCAGUCCCACGUUGAGGACGACCAUCUGCGAGAUCGUCGCGCGCUGCACCGUGGUGUCGGGAAUGCGCCCGGCGAUGUAGACGACGUAGGGCGGACCGCCGACACCGAACAGUGCGCCCAGCACGCCGCUGAGGAGACCCGCCGGCGCUGCCCACGCUCGCCCGAGAGGGCGUCGCGGGCCACGAUGGAGCAUGAUGUACAGUGCGUAGCCGCAGACGAAGACCCCGAGUGCGAGUAGCGUGGCAUCGCGCGGGAGGCUGACGAGUAGCGUCACGCCGAGGGCGAGGCCGAUGAUCGUGAACGGCGCCAGCACCAG
rnacentral:misc_RNA from 1 species